CUUCAAGUCCCACUGAAAUGACAAAUCCUUCAGGCCACAUAGCUCUUUCUCACCUGAAGAAUGACUUUUGGGGGUUGGGAUGGGUUGGUAUUUAGCAAAGCAGAGGCAGGGACUUGGGCGAUCUGCCUGUGGUGUGUGGAAUGGGCUGCCUGGAGAUGCAUGUGGGCUGCAAACACUAGGGAAGCUCCAAACCAGACCUACCUCAUGAAGAGUGGAAGGCUAACUUGAAAGCAUACUUUUGCUUAAAGUUUAGGAAGAGAAAUACCAUUCAAUCAAAAUUUAUUUUGUUUUGUAACAUAAGAAAAAAAACCCAAAUUCCAAUAAACGUGUUAAUUUAAUCCAGUGGUUUAGAGGUAUGUCAGAAUGCAAUCAGAGUGCCAACAUUUCUCAUUUAAUCAUAACAUGCAAUCCUUAUAUUAAUGACACAGUUUUAAAACAAUAUUGGGGAUCUUAACUGGGACUUUGUCACCACUCUUUUUUCUGCCAUUUCCUUAUUGUCCACAUAAUUUCUGAAAAAUAGAGAGGCAAAAAUGGAAUAUGUCUGUCCACAAGAGAUUCUCACAAUGAAGAGAAGAAGAGGGGCAUGGAGGGGAGAGAGCGUUCAUUUUGAUACUGGCAGAAAACAGAAGAUCCUCACAAGAACAACACCUUACAUUUCAUUUGUUUCUCCUUGGCUCUUCUUUUCCUCUGAGGAACAGUCAUUACUGGAGUUGUUUCUCUUGAGACAGUGUCAACAGAGAGGCUCAGCAGUAGAGAAACUUUUAUUAACCCUGGCACCAGCCCGUUCACAGGGCAGGGAGCUCUUUCACAGCCAGAAAGCAGUCAGUGUUGGAGAAAAUAGACAUACGAGAAUUAGCAGGGAGGAGAGGUGGGCAGGAGGUAUGAACAGGCUGCAGGUAGCAAUGAUGAGAACAUCUUGGUGUAGCAUCUUUCAGGUUUGUGCAGACAAAACCAGGGACCUUGUUCCUUUUCUGGAGUUUGCUCUUCCAUGACAAGGGGAUAGAGUAGUGUGACAAGGACCCCAUUUUUAGCUGAACAAAGGAGAAAGUCCUACAACAGUAGCCUAUUGGAAAAUCUUCCACGCUUUCUUACAUUUUGAAACAGAAUACAGAGAUUGGCAUUGUUGUUCUCAAUUUCAAAGCAGUAAAAGAUUGUGUGUGAAAUGAACUGGAUGUCCCAUAGUCUGAUGUCCAAGGACUGGGCAGUAUAAAAGAGAAAGCUGAAGUAAGUGGCUGCUUUGGGAAAGUUGGUUGUUGGGAGAACAGCUCCUGUUUGGGGAACAUUUUGGCAAUAUCACUUGCAUAAAAUAUAUCUAAUAUUUAACACCCACAAACAUUUCCUUAGAUGAACAUACAAAUUUUAAAACAUGCAUAGAUGUUGCCCAAAGUUCUGCUAUUUUUUUCUGAAUUAUAGUCUUUGUGAUAAAGAAAAAAAUCUGCUCAAAAAAUAACUAAUCUUAUAAACCAUUCUAAAAAUAUUUAUAAUAUCAAGGCAGCUAUUACAAAUUCUUCUAUUUUUUUAAAUGACUAUUUUCUCUUAUGUUAAAUCAGGUUUUGGUCUGAUUUGGGAGUGUUUGUUAUCCCUCUCUUCUUACAAGAACCUGUAUUGAUUCUUUCAACGGUAGAAAAUAAUUCAUUUAGUUUGAUACUGCUUCCCAAAUACCUAUAUUUACUCUUAAAUAUCUCUAUGAAAAGUUGCCCUUUCUCUUAUUCUCUUUAGACAUGCAAAGGUCACUUUUUCGAUAAAAAGGAAUAACUCCAUAAACAGUCCUAAACUAAUGACUGUAAAACUGAAACCCAACACUUUCAUCAACCUUACUGAGACUGUCAGCCUCUCACCACCCCUGAUGAGCAAUUCCAGUUAAUGUUUUACCUCCAUGAAAACUCAAAGGCAGAGAAGCCUAGCUCUGAACUUAUUGUAGGGCCUUAGGCUAACUCAUUGAUUUUUCUGGGCCUGCUCUAAGAUGUUAUAUAAUAAUUUCCUCCCUAGUCCUCCAGAACUUUGGCUGAGUAUGGAAGACACAUAGGAAGGCACAGCUGAGUUACGUGUAAGGGCUGGGGAGUGUUGAAUUUAUUUCUAUAAAAAUAUGCGAGGAAGUUAAUCUUUUUAUUCAUAAGAGCAUGAAUACAGAGGAGCUGGGAUGAGUGACGCUGGAAACAUAGGGCAAGACAAAUGACUUUUAAUAACAAAAAUGGCGAAUACUCAAUUCUAAAUUUUUGGUGAAGAGGAGCCGUAAGGCUUUUCUUUCCUUUAACAUCUCUACAAGCCUUCAGUGAAGUCCACUGCCCACAUAGAGGCUCUUUUAUGUAUAGAGAAAUCAAAGAAAAACCCUGAGCUAAGCAUCUGGGUUAGUGCAGAACAGGAAACACUCAUUCAUCAGGGCCAGGAAGGUGGAGCCAUGAGGAGCCAUGAGGAUCUAUGAGAAUGUAAUCCUGGAGACGUUAUAGAAAUCUUAAGAAAGGCAAUGGGUGCUCUCUGGGUUUGUUAUAGGAAUGAGGGCCCAUCUUACCAUGAGCUUAACAGGGCAGUAUUGCCCCUCAUCUCUCCUUAGUUCAGCUAAAGACGAGGUCCUUGCUCACGGCCACAAAAAAUUAGGCUCACAGACAAUUUGAAGGGUGAGAAUAAUGGAAUUUAUUGGCGAAAAGGAGAAAAAGAGGGAAAUAAGGACUCUCCACAGAGUGAGAAUCCUGCUAGUAUAGACUUCCUGCCUUGCAGCUUGAAUUCCAAGUUCCACCCAGGAAGAGGAGGGCCCAGGCUCCUCCCCACUGCAAUAGGCAGGAACUUCUGUGGCUCCACCCCAGUGUGCAACCCUCCCAGUGCACAGGUCAGUUGGAGGCUCUGCCAGGGAGCCCUUCCCACCUGACUGUCUCAGUAUGACCCCAAAUGGCAGCUGAUGAUCAGUCUGAGACUCUGACCAGGUUUGAAGCCAGACUCAGCCAUGCUCUAGCUAAUUAAUAUGGGGAAGGUACAAAUUGGAGCCUAAGUUUCCUUAUCAGUAACUGCCAAUGUAACAAUUGAUUCAGGGUCACCAAUGGGUGUAAAAAUAGUUAGGUAAAAUAUUGUUGAAGAAAGGAAUAAUCUCAAAGUAAAACUCCCCAUAUUACUUUCAAAUUAUAAGAGAAAAUACACUCUUCCAAUUGAGAGAGUAGGCAGAUACUACCUUAUCUGAGUAAUCAAACUUAACAUCAAUAAUGAGACUGAUGAUGGUACAUAGAUUUUUGUGGAAGAGCAUCCUUGUUUCUAAGAGAUAGAUACUUAAGUAUUUAUAGGUGAUAUAUCAUGAUGUUUACAACUUUAAAAUGUAUUGUCUAUUUCUAUAUAGAGAGAAAGCCAAGAAGCAGCAUAGUAAUAAUCAGUGAAUAUAGGUGAAGAGUAUGUAAAUUUUUAUUGCAUUAUUAUUUCAAAUUAUAAGUAAAAUACCUAGCAUCAUAUCAGGUUAUGCUAGUCUGUGCUAGUUGCAUGUUGAUUACCUCUUACUCUUCCUUCCUUUUUCCUGUGCUAGACUUUUUCACUUUUCCUCUAUCAUGAUAAGCACUCAUUAAUGGUUAUUUAAAUAUAUCUUGGGUAUAGUUAUAUUGCCCUCAAAAAAAGUAGACUCUGAAAAAACAGAAAGCACCAAAAGGGCAGAGUGUUGUAGAAAUGCCAGGAAAGGCAAUAACUGGCAGCUCUGCGAGGUUGUCCUGUUCUCCAAGGGGCAUCCCAUAGUGUGACAUAUUAGAUAUUUUGUAGAAUUAAGAGGAAGAAAUUAGUAGCUUGGAGAAAACAAUGCCCAGA
rnacentral:lncRNA from 1 species